UACGUAGGGGGCAAGCGUUGUCCGGAAUUAUUGGGCGUAAAGAGCGCGUAGGCGGUCCGAUAAGUCGGCUGUGAAAGUCAGGGGCUCAACCCUUGGAAGCCGGCCGAUACUGUCGGACUAGAGUCCGGAAGAGGCGAGUGGAAUUCCCGGUGUAGCGGUGAAAUGCGCAGAUAUCGGGAGGAACACCAAUGGCGAAGGCGGCACUCUGGGCCGGAACUGACGCUGAGGAGCGAAAGCGUGGGGAGCGAACAGG
rnacentral:rRNA from 1 species